GACACAUUGAGUCCUGUCAUGACUCUCCAUAAGAGUUGUCAGCAUUGAAAUGGAUAUUGACUGAGUUGAGGCCAUGAUUCUUCAAAUAAA